rnacentral:ncRNA from 2 species
AUCUUAUCGAGAGUGGCAGAGGGACUGGCCCUGUGAAGCCACAGCAACCGGUUCCGCCUUUGGCGGAGCGCCAGGUGCUAAUUCCAGCAAGGUUUUUUAGCCUUGGAAGAUAAGAA